UAUGGAGGUUUGCUCGGGAGCAGAGAGGUCUGGCCAGCAACUCUUGAGAAAGUGGAUACAGUAUUUGGAUUUAAGUUGCAGUGUUUCAGAACAGUUUGUUACAUCUCUUCACCUACUUGAGGGGGAGAGAGUGAGCUAAUGGAGAUACUUUCUGCAAACUCUUGAUGUGUUCAUUACCUGACUGGCUGACAACCAACGCUGUGG
rnacentral:lncRNA from 1 species